rnacentral:snRNA from 1 species
GUCGAUUUGGAGACGUCCGAUCAAAUUGAAAUGAUACAAAGAAUAUUAACAUGGCCUAUUACGCAAGGAUGUCACUCAUGUAUACUAUUUAUAU